rnacentral:rRNA from 1 species
ACUGCUCAGUAACACGUGGCUAACCUACCCUCAGGGCGGGGACAAACCCGGGAAACUGGGGCUAAUAUCCGAUAGGCGAGGAAUCCUGGAAUGGUUCUUCACCCAAAGGACAUUGGAAACAUGCUUUCUCUGUCGCCUGGGGAUGGGGCCGCGUCCGAUCAGGUUGUUGGUGAGGUAAUGGCUCACCAAGCCUUUAACCGGUACGGGCCGUGAGAGCGGUAGCCCGGAGAUGGGUACUGAGACAAGGACCCAGGCCCUACGGGGCGCAGCAGUCGCGAAAACUCCGCAAUGCACGAAAGUGUGACGGGGCUACCCCGAGUGCCGUCCGCUGAGGAUGGCUUUUCCUUGGUGUAACUAGCCGGGGGAAUAAGGAGAGGGCAAGACUGGUGUCAGCCGCCGCGGUAAUACCAGCUCUCCGAGUGGUAGGGAUGAUUAUUGGGCUUAAAGCGUCCGUAGCCGGCUUAGCAAGUUUCCUGUUAAAUUCAGUGACCUAAUCGUUGAGCCGCGGGAAAUACUACUAGGCUAGGAGGCGGGAGAGGUCGACGGUACUUCUGGGGUAGGGGUGAAAUCCUAUAAUCCCGGGAGGACCACCAGUGGCGAAGGCUGUCGACUAGAACGCGCUCGACGGUGAGGGACGAAAGCUGGGGGAGCGAACCGGAUUAGAUACCCGGGUAGUCCCAGCUGUAAACGAUGCGGGCUAGGUGUUGGGGUGGCUACGUGCCACUUCAGUGCCGCAGGGAAGCCAUUAAGCCCGCCGCCUGGGGAGUACGGCCGCAAGGCUGAAACUUAAAGGAAUUGGCGGGGGAGCAC